rnacentral:rRNA from 1 species
GAUGAACGCUGGCGGCGUGCCUAAUACAUGCAAGUCGAGCGAACGGACGAGAAGCUUGCUUCUCUGAUGUUAGCGGCGGACGGGUGAGUAACACGUGGAUAACCUACCUAUAAGACUGGGAUAACUUCGGGAAACCGGAGCUAAUACCGGAUAAUAUUUUGAACCGCAUGGUUCAAAAGUAAAAGACGGUCUUGCUGUCACUUAUAGAUGGAUCCGCGCUGCAUUAGCUAGUCGGUAAGGUAACGGCUUACCAAGGCAACGAUGCAUAGCCGACCUGAGAGGGUGAUCGGCCCCACUGGAACUGAGACACGGUCCAGACUCUGACGGGAGGCAGCAGUAGGGAAUCUUCCGCAAUGGGCGAAAGCCUGACGGAGCAACGCCGCGUGAGUGAUGAAGGGCUUCGGAUCGUAAAACGCUGUUAUUAGGGAAGAACAUAUGUGUAAGUAACUGUGCACAUCCGGACGGUACCUAAUCAGAAAGCCACGGCUAACUACGU